GGCAGAUUCUGGCUGACUGCAGAUAAAGCAUUUCUAGGGUCCCUUUGUUGAUGUCACAACAUCUUUCUCCAAGAAGCACAUUUUAUAGCAGGCUGAGGGAAUGGUCUGGAGGGAAUCCUAGGCUUUCCACUGGGAGCUCUGUUAUUAUUGAUUCUGGCCUUUAGGCAAAUUCCAGUGGUAUCUCAGGGUCCCCAAGUCUGAGAACAAGAUUUCUGUAGGGAUUCUAACUGCCUUUGGCUAGGACACACCCUUUGGCAGGAGUUGUCAGUUGCAGUUUCAGUGUGGAAAGAAAUGAUUUCUCCAUCCCCUGAAAAUUGGUGGUGGCGGUGGUGGCGGUGGUGAUGGUGAGAGAGACUCUUAUGGGACAAAUCCUCUGAGGGAUCUAGAGUGGGUUUAGAGGGUGAGAAAGUUUGCUUUUAGCUUGCUUUUUUAAAAAUAUUUCCUUUCAGAAUAAAGCUUUUGUUUUUAGAUAGAAGACAGACAGAAAUAGGUGAAAUAUUAAAAUAUUGUGGGAAAAAUAUACAAAGCAAAAUUUUUGUUCGCACACAAUAGGUGGUCAAUGUUUGUUAUUUGUAAUAUGGGGAUUUGAAAAUGGAUGAGACUAAGUCAAAGAUUGCUCUUCCCCUGAAAAUAUACACCUUAUCUGAUAGAGCUCAAAGUAACUAAAAGUUUAUCUGCGUAGAAAUGCCUUCUCUUAGCUGUGAAUCACAAGACAUUGUACACAAUGGGGGCUCCAUCUGUAAAGCCAACUGGCAGGAAGUUCAGGAAGGGAAUGUCACAGAAUUCCUUACUGAACAACAGAGGCAGCCUGUGGAAAGGCCAUACUGGAUCAAUGGAAGCUGGCUAGAAGAAAAUUUCAGGAUCCUGUUCAUUGAGAAGAGACUGGCACAGGGGAGGAUGUGGACAACCCAACCUAGAUGGAAAUGGGAAGUUCCUGUGUUUUUCUGGAGGGCUGGAUGUGUGUUUGGAGAGAGCUGGUCUUUGCCAUAUUAUCCCCACCAAAGAAGGGGCUUGGAUUCUGAGCCUGACUAUAAUUGCUCACUUCAAAGGACUGCAUAA
rnacentral:lncRNA from 1 species